rnacentral:rRNA from 1 species
GACGAACGCUGGCGGCGUGCUUAACACAUGCAAGUCGAACGGAAAGGCCCUGCUUUUGUGGGGUGCUCGAGUGGCGAACGGGUGAGUAACACGUGAGUAACCUGCCCUUGACUUUGGGAUAACUUCAGGAAACUGGGGCUAAUACCGGAUAGGAGCUCCUGCUGCAUGGUGGGGGUUGGAAAGUUUCGGCGGUUGGGGAUGGACUCGCGGCUUAUCAGCUUGUUGGUGGGGUAGUGGCAUACCAAGGCUUUGACGGGUAGCCGGCCUGAGAGGGUGACCGGCCACAUUGGGACUGAGAUACGGCCCAGACUCCUGCGGGAGGCAGCAGUGGGGAAUAUUGCACAAUGGGCGGAAGCCUGAUGCAGCAACGCCGCGUGCGGGAUGACGGCCUUCGGGUUGUAAACCGCUUUCGCCUGUGACGAAGCGUGAGUGACGGUAAUGGGUAAAGAGGCACCGGCUAACUACGUG